rnacentral:rRNA from 1 species
GACGAACGCUGGCGGCGUGCUUAACACAUGCAAGUCGAACGAAGCUGCUCUUUGUGAAUCCUUCGGGAGGAACUGUGAGUAGACUGAGUGGCGGACGGGUGAGUAACGCGUGAGCAACCUGCCCUUGAGCGGGGGACAACAGCUGGAAACGGCUGCUAAUACCGCAUGAGACCACGGUUUCGCAUGAAACUGAGGUAAAAGGAUUUAUUCGAUCAAGGAUGGGCUCGCGUCCCAUUAGGUAGUUGGUGAGGUAACGGCUCACCAAGCCUGCGAUGGGUAGCCGACCUGAGAGGGUGAUCGGCCACACUGGAACUGAGACACGGUCCAGACUCCUACGGGAGGCAGCAGUGGGGAAUAUUGGGCAAUGGGCGCAAGCCUGACCCAGCAACGCCGCGUGAGGGAAGAAGGCCUUCGGGUUGUAAACCUUUGUCCUGUGGGACGAAGAAGUGACGGUACCACAGGAGGAAGCCCCGGCUAACUACGUGCCAGCCGCCGC